UACGGAGGGAGCUAGCGUUGUUCGGAAUUACUGGGCGUAAAGCGCACGUAGGCGGCUUUGUAAGUUAGAGGUGAAAGCCCGGGGCUCAACCCCGGAAUUGCCUUUAAGACUGCAUCGCUUGAAUCCGGGAGAGGUGAGUGGAAUUCCGAGUGUAGAGGUGAAAUUCGUAGAUAUUGGGAAGAACACCGGUGGCGAAGGCGGCUCUCUGGACCGUAACUGACGCUGAGGCGCGAAAGCGUGGGGAGCAAACAGG
rnacentral:rRNA from 1 species